AACGAACGCUGGCGGCAUGCCUAACACAUGCAAGUCGAACGAGACCUUCGGGUCUAGUGGCGCACGGGUGCGUAACGCGUGGGAACCUGCCCUUAGGUUCGGAAUAACUCCCCGAAAGGGGUGCUAAUACCGGAUAAUGUCUUCGGACCAAAGAUUUAUCGCCUUUGGAUGGGCCCGCGUUGGAUUAGCUAGUUGGUAGGGUAAAAGCCUACCAAGGCGACGAUCCAUAGCUGGUCUGAGAGGAUGAUCAACCACACUGGGACUGAGACACGGCCCAGACUCCUACGGGAGGCAGCAGUGGGGAAUAUUGGACAAUGGGCGAAAGCCUGAUCCAGCAAUGCCGCGUGAGUGAUGAAGGCCUUAGGGUUGUAAAGCUCUUUUACCCGGGAUGAUAAUGACAGUACCGGGUGAAUAAGCUCCGGCUAACUCCGUG
rnacentral:rRNA from 1 species